UACGUAGGGUGCAAGCGUUGUCCGGAAUUAUUGGGCGUAAAGAGCUCGUAGGCGGUUUGUCGCGUCUGCUGUGAAAACUCGGGGCUUAACCCCGGGCUGGCGGUCGAUACGGGCAGGCUGGAGUUCGGUAGGGGAGACUGGAAUUCCUGGUGUAGCGGUGAAAUGCGCAGAUAUCAGGAGGAACACCGGUGGCGAAGGCGGGUCUCUGGGCCGAUACUGACGCUGAGGAGCGAAAGCGUGGGGAGCGAACAGG
rnacentral:rRNA from 1 species